UACGUAGGGUCCGAGCGUUGUCCGGAAUUAUUGGGCGUAAAGAGCUCGUAGGCGGUUUGUCGCGUCUGCUGUGAAAUCCCGAGGCUCAACCUCGGGUCUGCAGUGGGUACGGGCAGACUGGAGUGCGGUAGGGGAGAAUGGAAUUCCUGGUGUAGCGGUGAAAUGCGCAGAUAUCAGGAGGAACACCGGUGGCGAAGGCGGCUCUCUGGGCCUUACCUGACGCUGAGGAGCGAAAGCGUGGGUAGCGAACAGG
rnacentral:rRNA from 1 species